UAGGGAAUCUUCCGCAAUGGGCGAAAGCUUGACGGAGCAACGCCGCGUGAGUGAUGAAGGUCUUCGGAUCGUAAAACUCUGUUAUUAGGGAAGAACAAAUGUGUAAGUAACUAUGCACGUCUUGACGGUACCUAAUCAGAAAGCCACGGCUAACUACGUGCCAGCAGCCGCGGUAAUACGGAGGUGGCAAGCGUUAUCCGGAAUUAUUGGGCGUAAAGCGCGCGUAGGCGGUUUUUUAAGUCUGAUGUGAAAGCCCACGGCUCAACCGUGGAGGGUCCUUGGAAACUGGAAAACUUGAGUGCAGAAGAGUAAAGUGGAAUUCCAUGUGUAGCGGUGAAAUGCGCCGAGAUAUGGAGGAACACCAGUGGCGAAGGCGACUUUCUGGUCUGUAACUGACGCUGAUGUGCGAAAGCGUGGGGAUCAAACAGG
rnacentral:rRNA from 1 species